rnacentral:lncRNA from 1 species
CCUAGGGCCAUUGGUGCCACCUACAAGAAGGUUCCAGGCCAGGGUUUCCCUGGGGGAAGGUGGCCUCAGGGGACGUGGCCACCACCUGGACAUCUCUGAGGGAUUUUGUGGGGCAGAAGUGGCGAGUAGUCAGUGUGGUCCGAGGUCAGCACCAGCCCUGGGGCCCCUGGCACAGUUGAACUGGAAUCAGCAUAGUCUGCUCAGGGCAGGUGGGUGGGUUGCCAGGGCACAGGGCAGCCCCAGAGCCCAGCUCACCUGGUGCCGCCUGGGGAAGGCACCAGCCCCAGGUCUCAUUAAUUCUCGAGUGAGGCCAGACCACUGUGGUAUUUCCCCCUGCCUGAGCCCC